UUUUGAGAAAGAAAUCUUUGAUUUAAAUUUGAAUUUUUCUAACUUUACUCAUUGUUGAAAUUUGGCGUGUACUCCAAUGUAUGUCUAUAAACAAGAAAAGACAACGUUGAACACGAAGUUUUAUUACGUUUCAUAAAGGAAUAAGGGAGAAAUCAACGAAAAAAGAAUUAAAUUUUGAAGGUUAAUUCCGAGAAAAAUCAAGAGAUGACGCUAGUUUCGAAGGAAGAAUUUUGAAUUUUGAAAAGGGCGCGAAGCUAAGAGCCAAUCAGAAACGAGGAAAAAACAGUUGGAGUGCCGGGGUAUAUAAGGAGAUCGCAAGCAGGGAGUGAGAGAGUCGUCGUCGGACCAGCGUCGAAUCCACGUCGUCAGAUAAAAGAAUUUUUGAAGAGAUAACCUCAAAAAUUUAAGAUAAUUAAAAAAAAAAAAAGUCAAACCAACUUAGAAUAUUAAAAUAAAAAGUGAAUCAUCCUACAACCUAUUCCGAGAACUACCGAUACUUCUUCGAGAUCAUCCGAAGAACAAACAGUGCAAUUUCCCGUAAGAAGAAUCCUGUAGACAAUCCAGAAAAUUAGUAGUGCCCCGAACACAAGAGACAAUUCCAUAAUCCAGAUACCACAUUGAACUCCAAUCCUUUCUUUUAUACAAUAAACCAAAAGUGGAAUUGACCAAAAUCCAUUACUAUUUUAACGGUAAAGAUGUUGAGAUUCCAACGAUUUCGCGAGAAAUUCAUCAAAACACUUAUAACAGUAACAUAGUGGUGAAAAGAAACGUUUUCGGACACACUUUCGUGCUAAAAGUGAACGAGGAGAAUCCCAAGAAAGAGAUUUCCUCGAAAAUUGUUUAUUUAUGGGUGAUAAUUUGUGUGGUUAUCUCGAUUUUAUUCGCGAUUUAUUUUUCUUUCGAUAAAAGCUUCAAACAACAAAUUGAACCAAUCCAAAACAUCUCAACAUCAACUUUAAAACCAACGAUUCUUUUAACAACACCAUCAAACAUUAUAAACGAAACUUUAAACUUAAUUAAUAUUUGUGCAAAUUGCUCAAAAGACGAGAUUUGUUUAAAAACACUCGAAUUUCAUUUCCCCGUUUGCGUCAAAAUGACAGAUGGGCGCGAUCCGACCGGAUGUGGUGGUUUGUGCGAGUUAAACGUACAAAAAUGUAAAAAGCUCCACAAAAAACUCGACAUUUUUCAAUGUGUUAAGAAUGAGUACGCUUUUAAUUGCGAAAAGAACGAAUUUAAUUGCGGGUUAAGCUGUAUCUCAAAAACGAAGCGUUGCGAUGGAGUAAUCGAUUGUUCUAACAUGGUAGAUGAGUACGAUUGUGCUUGCAACUUGGAUUAUUACUUCCAUUGCGGGAAUGAGACUUCUUGUAUCGAGUUAGAAAAGUAUUGCGAUGGGGUUUUCGAUUGUUGGGAUGGCUACGAUGAGUUGAAUUGCCCCUCGAGGAAUUGUGGUGAUGAUAAUAAUAAAUAUCCAUGUGUUAAUGGAAAGAUGUGUAUAGCGAGGGAACAAUAUUGUGAUGGGGUCUAUGACUGCGAUGAUCGCAGUGAUGAACCUCGUGGUUGCAAAAUUAAGUUUUCUUAAUUAGUUUUUUAAAUUACUCACCUAAAAUGAACCAAAAAUGAGUCAAUUGUUGAACAAUAAACACAAUAAAACACUUCAUAACAA